AGAGAUAAAUGUCAUAAAUAUCAUGAAUGUACUUAUUACAUAGUGGAAGUCUUACAAAAUAAAUCAUAAAUAUAAAACGAACUAAAUCUUAUUUCCCUGGCGCCACAAAGCUGACUGAGAGACGCCACCUAGAUUAAGUCGAACUCCUCGCUGGGUGGCUCCUCUUGAACCACCUGUUCUUCUCCUGUGGAGGGUGUGAGACAGCAAGGGUGAGCUCACAUACGUUCAUAGCUCAACAAGUUGUGGGGAAUAAUGUGCAUGAACUCACCAUAGGUGGGAGUUCAUGUGAUGUGUAAGGCUGAUCAAUAAAAUAAAGGCUGAAGCUGAGCAUUGCUUUUAUAUGUUGGUCAAAAUUUUAUUAGCAGUUACUAAGUGUAAGUAAAUACCAAACCAUAGUAAUAAUAAAUAAAAGUAAUAAUAAAUAAUCCCAAUGUGAUGCAAAUGACAAAUUGAAUUUAAUUCCAUAAAUUAAUCAUGUGAGUGUCCGAGCUGCUCAUGACCGUGAGCACGGCUAGUAUACCAGUUUUACACUCUGCAGACGUUGCACAUCUUUACCCACAAGUCGUGUUACCCAUUUGCCACAGGGUUGAUUGGACCCCAUACACCUCUACCAAGGAAGCGAGGCAGGGUACCACUACGAGGCCUUUACAAAGUUCCACUAGCUUCAGAAAACCCGCUACAGUUUAUAGGAAGCUCCAGUGCAGGGAUCCCUCGCCUGACCGCCAUCGCAGCAAAAUCAACCCAAGGACCUCCCCACACUGACCACUCCCCUACUCCCUUGCCCCUAACGGGUAAGGUAGUCAUCCACUAGCUUUCCUAGUUAUUCAGCCAAGGGCGUCCCAUACCACCCUUGUGGUAGCACGGUUUUCUCGGGUGGUUCUCCAUGUUCCCAUUAACAUAAUGAUCUUAUCAUGAACAGUAAUUAAUAAACUGAUAAUAAAAGUGUGAACAUGAGUAAUGUAUAUCGUUAUACCCAAAACCACAUAAAGCAAUAGCAUGUACUAGCCAAAAAUUCAGUGGUAAAACAAGGUAUAAAGAUAGCCAAACUAGGGUAACCUAUUGGGUCCCAUCAAAAUUAACCUAUGCAGAUCAUUAUGAUUAAUAAGAACAUGACUGGGUAAAAAGGAAGUGAUCAAGGGCACAACUUUCCUUCAACGAGCUCCUGCUCAGCAGUCUCCACCCGCUGAACCCCUGGAUCCUCUAUGGCUUGCUCGUCUACUCGCAUCAAUACAAACAUACAUAGUAUAGAAAAAACUAACAUCACACCAAACCAUAGAACAGAAUACAUGAUGAUAUUAUAUGUUGAGUAAUGAGAUCGUAGGAACAAAAAUCACUAAAUUUGGAGCUACGGUUAUUAAGUUAUGAAUUUCUGAAGUUGUUAAGUACUUGGAAUAGCAUAACUCAUGUGAAUAAUUUUAGUUCAAGUUUCAUGGCUAAACAAAUUUACUAAGUGAUAAACAAUAUUAAAACAAAAUUAAUGUCUCUGGAAUGAAUUAAUUUGGAGUUAAAAUGAAUUUAAUAUGAAUUAUACAAGUUUCUGGAAUUAUUUUUUUAUUAAAAAUCAAUUUCCAGAAUUAAUUCUCUAUUUUCAUUACUCACUGGAUUAGGCGCCAAUUUCUGAAGAGUGUAGGGGCCCUGGCGCAAAGUAUACUAAGACUCAGGCUAACAACAGGAUGGACUUCGGGUUGGUUUUCUAAAACCAGAAGGGCUUUUCUGCAAAACGUGCACAUCGAAGGGGUACGGGGUGAUAUCGGUCGUCAGAUCUAAGUCUUGCGGCUGCUAUUAGAUUUUACCGCGUUAUGAAUUAGUAUGUGACUGGCACCGUUAGAUCCAAAUGCAGUAAUUCUGAUUUUAUGAAGCCGUAUUCAUCCUGAACUGCCCGAUCAAAUCCGACCGCUAAGAUAACUCCGCGAAGGGGGUACGCGCAAUGUCUAAUCACUGCCUUCGGUCACGGAUCUGACGGUCGCGGAUCCUUCUUCCCCAUCCACGGCAGAGACGUGAGCAGGGUGGCGGUGCCAUCCCGAACGGCGGUGGGUUCGGUGGAAAUGGUGAACCCGACACCGCAUACUUAAACUUCGAUUCCCAUGGUUUGGCGUGACGACCAGGUUCUCCUAAAUCCAUUAACCUAGAUUUUGUGGCAGAUAACCACGUUCUCGGCUCCGCCCCCGGUGAGCAGUGACAAGACCCCCAUGUUGACGCCGACCAAGUCCCAAACGCGUUACAGCUCAGCCAGAACUAUCCCUCUACGCGAAAUGGAUAUGCGAGUGGGUACAUACCCGAGGUUGGCUCGACGAGGUGGCGCGCGAUGCCUCGCUCCCACGUGGUGGUUAUACGGCAGUGAAGAACAGGCUGGUGAGGAAUGUCACCCCCCCCGCGCCGAUCCAAAAUUUCCCGGCCACAAAGCUUUUGGUGCGGUUAGGAAGGUUUGGCGAUGGACUCCGGCCACCAAUCGAAUGCAACUAGGGCCCGGUCAUCGAAUUCGGCGGCGGCGGCAAACCAGUGUGCUAUGCACGACGCCGAGAGGUCUCCGGUUU
rnacentral:lncRNA from 1 species